GGAACCUCCAUAUGCUGCGGGAGCGGCCCAAGAAAUGGCAAAAAGACAAAAAUAAAUAAAUAAGAUAAAAUAAAAUUAGGUUGUUAUCAUGGUUGUAUAACAAUAAAUAUAAAAUUCAUUGAAUUAUUUAAAAAUAAAACAAUUGCAACCAAAAAAAAAAAAAAAACCCUACAGAGUUAUGUAUUUGAUCAUAUAAAAGGCUCCAAGGAGGGUUCAAAGUGAGGACAUGAUUACUUUUAUGUCUUUCUGGACAAUAUUUUUUUCCCUACACCCUCAGCAUGCAGGUUCUGAGGCCAGAGAUCAAACCUGAGCCACUGCAGUGACAACGCGGGUUCAUAACCUGCCGAGCCACUAGGGAACUCCUGGACAAUAGUUUUAUUAAACCAAAGGUCACACUGAUUCUUUCAUGCAUAUUUGAAGUUAGCACCAAAGACAAUCCCAAGGGAGGAAUUUCAAAACACCCUGCUUGGUAAGAGCGUCCCGGAAAUAAGGCUGGAGGAGUAACGGGGAAACCCACUCACGCCUGCCUGCAGGCAUCCUAGUCUGCCUCCGAAAGUUCCAGGCACUUUACAACCCUUCGCAGACACUUUCUGUCCCUGCAAAAAGCUCUGCUGUUCCCAUUUGCAUCACGGCUUGGGAGAGGGCUCUAGGGUGGUGAAAAGGCUGCCCCGGGGCUGCAGAGAGAGGCAUCAGGCAGAAGCCCCGACACGGGAGGGGCUCCUCAGAGGCACCGGCGCCGGAGGCUCCUCGCGGUGCCUGAGGGGUGAAACCUCCCGGAGAAACUCACCCGGCCCAGCUGGGGGCCGGGCAGCCUGCAGAGGGUGGGCAGGCGGUCGCCGAUCUUCUCGAGGCGGUUCACCGGCUCACCCGGGACCGGGCUCUCCAGCAAGUGCGCGAGGUGGGCGUCUGCGCGUGGAGAACCCAGGGCCUGCACAGGCUUCCUUGUCGUCCCGGGUUUUAACCCCUCGGCGGCAGCUCCUGAACCUCCCCGAACACGCGCCGCCGCUGCGCUGGUGUUGCAUCUGCCAGGGAGCUCGGCGGGCGCCCUUGCGGUCCUCUUCCUCCAAGUGGGCGGCAGACCCAGUGGCCCUCGCCCCGCAGAGCCGCGUGGUCGCGGUGGAAAUGAAAGGCCGGAGACGGGCAGAUGCAGCAGGCCCGCGGAUGCUCCUUGACCAGGCGGUUGCCGGCGGUCUCUACCGCCAUGGAGUCACUCUGAUGAAUAUGCGAGCUCACGGUUGGUCGGCAACAAGGAGCUGAGCUCAAAAAGCUGGCGUGGGCAGAAGUUCUCUUGUGGCGAAGCGGGUUAAGGACAUGGCCUUGUCCCUGCAGUGGCUCAGGGAUCCACCAGGGCACCCCGGUCACACGUCUUUUCUGUCGUGGACGUGGUCUAACGCACGCGUGUGCAGAGGCUUGUUGAGGGGAGUCUGCCUGCGGCCUUCGCAGUGUCCCCAGGACACCCGCGCAUGGCCUCCGAGUUGCGCUGCGAUGUGCCAUUAUUGUUUCCAGACUCAAUGGGUCCUUCCCUUGGGGUGCACACUCACCGAACACACCCAGUACCUUUUUUUUCACGAAUUUUAAAAAUUAAUUUACAGUGUUUUCUCAAGUUCUUUUGCAUCGCAGAGUGACCCAAUCACACACAUUUCCCUGAGCUGUACAGGAGGGUCCCACUGCCCAUCCAUCCCCGACAUAACCGUUUGCAGCCAAAACACCCCCAAAUGCCCAUCCACACCACUCCCUCCCCUCGCCCCCUUGAGAACCCCAAGUCUGCUCUCCUUGGCCAUGACCUCUCUCUCUCUCGUUUGUUUGUGUUCGAUAGGAUCGGCUGUUCCAUAUUUUAGAUUCCACAAGUAAGUGAUAUAUGCUAUUCGUCUUUUGCUUUCUGGCUUACUUCACUUAGGACGAGAGUCUCUAGUUCCAUGCAUGUUGCUGCCCGUGGCAUUAGUUUGUCUUUUUUUAUGGCUGAGUCAUAUUCCAUGGUAUAAGUAUGUACCACGUCUUCUUAAUCCAUUUGUCUCUGGAUGGACACCUUGGAUGCUUCCAUGUCUUGGCUGUUGUGAAUAGCGCUGCUAUGAACAUAGGGUGCCUGUGUAUAUCUUUCAACGAAAGUGUUGUCUGGAUGUAUACCCAGCAGUGGGAUUGCUGUAUCACAUGGUCGUUCUAUAUUUAGUUUCCUGCCGUACCUCCAUACUGUUUUCCGUAGUGGUUGCACCAGUUAACAUUCCCCCCACCAGGAGUUCCUGUCGUGGCUCAGCAGAAGUGAAUCUGACUAGCAUCCAUGAGGAUGCAGGUUCAAUCCCUAGCCUCCCUCAGUGGGUUAAGGAUCCGGUGUUGCCGUGAGCUCUAGUGUAGGUCACAGGCACACCUCGAGACCUGUGUAGCGGUGGCUGUGGAGCAGGCCAGCCGCUACAGCUCUGAUUGGACCCCUAGCCUGGGAACUUCCACAUGCCAUGGGGGUGGCCCUAAAAAGCAAAACCAAAAAAAAAAAAA
rnacentral:lncRNA from 1 species